ensembl:lncRNA
UUACCUUCCAGUGUGUGGUUCUCUUGUUCAGAGUGGAGCAAGGAGUUGAGUCUGGGAGGAAGUACAGCCUGGCUGUUGCUCUUCCUUCUGCCUGGAACGUUCCUCUCUGACCUUGUGGCUGGCUUCUUCUCACUCUGGGUCCCCUCCCGGGUCAUCUGUUCAGGGUGGCCUUCCCUGGCCAACCCCCGGAACGGGGCCAAGCUACUCUGACCCUUCUGCUUUCUUUAGGACACACAGCUCGCUCCAAUCAUCCAACUGAUUGAUUUGCUGAUGCUUUUAUUCUCUGCCUCCUCCCCUCCAUUAGAAAGUCCGGCAGGCAGGAAGCACGUCUUUCUCACUCACUUACUGCAGGCCCAGCACAUGGAGCAGUGAUUGGCAUGUGGUAGGGGCUCCAUCUCCUCAACUCUGCAGCCACAGAUGAUUCCUAAAUGAGUGAGCAUGGCUGUAUUCCAAGAAAUCUAGUUUAUGGAUUCUAUGAAUGGCAUCGCUAUCACCAUUCCUGUAUGUGUCUUUUUGUGGACAUAAGCACUCACUUCCCUGGGCUGUGGACUUGCUGGCAGUCUGGAAGGAUGUGCUUGCUUCAAGCCUCUGGAGCCCUUCCUGUCCACAGGUCCACAAACUGACUCCAGGGUCCCCGCUCUGUACCCACUCCCAUGCCGCUCUAUGUGACCCUCCCCAAGAAGAACACAGUACGACAGAAGAGAGGCCAGCCCCAGAGAUGACAGCUUGCAUCUCAUGUUCAUUGACCAUGUUGUCUCAGUGUAACCAGUCCAUCAGCCAACUGUCCCCAUGAGCUGAAUCUUUUCUCCGGACCAGUCCUCCA